GCCAGAGUGACACAGUGGUUUGAGCGUUGGACUAUGACUCUAGAGACCGGAGUUCGAUUCCCAGCUUGGCU